AAACAACACACAGAUUACUUCACCGGAAAGAAAAAACGAGGGCAAUUGUUCAUUUCCUAGCAAAUAAAAACCUCUAACUGAAAUCUUAUCCAUCACAUCUAUGUUCAUGAAAAUGCUUCAAGUUUCUCAGCUAUCAGCAUAUUCUUCAAAUUUCUUAAUUAUGGGUCAACCAGACAUACACU